AUUUGUGAAUUUGUAACUUAAUUGGGAUUGUCGAGAAGUAGUUUAAUUUGGAUUAUUCCAAUACUUAACUAGGCUCUGUUUAGAUUGAAAAUCGAGAGAGAGAGAGAGACUAUUUAAUUACUGUUGUUUCAACAAGUUACACAAUUUUUUACGAUUUCAUGAUAAACAAAUGAUCCUAAACGCGACUAUAUGUAAUAGUCAUAGGUUACUUUGCUUCUCUAGAGAAUCCAUUCUCAAUGAGAAAGUACAAGGAAUUGUAGCUUGCUAAUCCUGAUAUCAAGUGUCAAAUUAAAGGGUGAACAUGAAGUUUGACGAUAAGAGGGGCAGUAAUUUGCUAAGCCUUUGCGUAAUUAAAGUCGUCUAUUCAAGCAUCUCUGUUGCAAAUGGUUUAGGGAACCGUUUGGGGUGGGAGUUUAACUUCAAAUAUAUGCAACUGCUUAAAUUAGAGUCUGUUUGUCAAGUCUUUCUGCGCUGUCUUCCGUUUAUUUAAAAAAGCCCGAAAGACAAAAAAUCAGUCUAUUUCCGUUUGAUUCGCGUAAGAUCUCGCCGCCGAAAACCCUGCGCCGAAAAAUCUGGAAAAGCCCAAUUUGAGCUUAUUUCGUCGUAGCUUCCGGGUUUUUACGCCCUGCCCUCUCGGAGCUUCACCAUACGUGUGCGACCUUUCACACGCACACAACUAUGAAUAGUAAACCCUCGAUGAACCCCCCAAACCUCUCUAAUUCGUAUACGUGACACCUCUUAGGUCUCACAGGAGAUUACAAAUCCUCUGCUUCAUUCUUCCGUUGUCAUCGCCUUUGACGCCGGCUUCUAAUCGGGAUCACAUCCUCCCGACACCCCCCGUACCGUCGAUGUCCAUGAGGAAGACCCAAUUAUUCGAGCGAUUCCGGACUCGGAGAGUAGUGAUUCUAUCGGUGAGUCGAACUGGUGGGCCGACUUGGCUGCGAGCGUUCAUGUGUUCACUGGAUCUAUACUGAGGAUGGAGCUUGCGGAGAUGGAGAUGAUCAAGGCAAGGGAGGCUUGGCGGGUUGAAAAAGAGAGGCGCCUAAUUGAAUCGGAAGCCGAGAUGACUCAGAUGUUGCUGGAGACACAAUUGCAGGUCGCCUCGUUUCUUUUGCAAAAGAAUCAGAAGCGGAAGCGAAAGUGAGUCAAAGAUGAAGACGAGUAGAACUCCGAUCGCCUCCUUGUCACUGUGUUCGUUAUUUUUAAAUUAAACGAUGACUUGGUCGAAUCUUUUUUUUUUUUUUUUUCAAUUCUAAACUUUCUGAAACCAGUAUAAGUUCAUAGCCUUGCCACGACUCGGAGUUUUACAAUGUCACAUGACUUGGUGAGAUGAUCGAGUCAGUAGUUACUCACUCGGCCACUUCAUCUAUGCUCCUUUCAAGAGGAUAUAAGUUCAGUGGCCAGCAUGAACCGUUACAAAUUUUUCCAAAGAUUUCUUUUUGGUAUUUACAUUGUGCUUUUUCCCUAACUCCAGAUUUUGAGCA